rnacentral:rRNA from 1 species
AGUGAACGCUGGCAGUAGGCCUAACACAUGCAAGUCGAACGGCAGCACAGUAAGAGCUUGCUCUUACGGGUGGCGAGUGGCGGACGGGUGAGGAAUACAUCGGAAUCUACUUUUUCGUGGGGGAUAACGUAGGGAAACUUACGCUAAUACCGCAUACGACCUACGGGUGAAAGCAGGGGAUCUUCGGACCUUGCGCGAUUGAAUGAGCCGAUGUCGGAUUAGCUAGUUGGCGGGGUAAAGGCCCACCAAGGCGACGAUCCGUAGCUGGUCUGAGAGGAUGAUCAGCCACACUGGAACUGAGACACGGUCCAGACUCCUACGGGAGGCAGCAGUGGGGAAUAUUGGACAAUGGGCGCAAGCCUGAUCCAGCCAUACCGCGUGGGUGAAGAAGGCCUUCGGGUUGUAAAGCCCUUUUGUUGGGAAAGAAAAGCAGCAGGUUAAUACCCCGCUGUUCUGACGGUACCCAAAGAAUAAGCACCGGCUAACUUCGU